UGUCUCCUCCAUGUCUCCACUGAUAUGGAUUCAGCCCGCCAAUCAUGCGCGGGCUUUUUUUU
rnacentral:ncRNA from 1 species